ACUCCUACGGGAGGCAGCAGUGGGGAAUAUUGCACAAUGGGCGCAAGCCUGAUGCAGCCAUGCCGCGUGUAUGAAGAAGGCCUUCGGGUUGUAAAGUACUUUCAGCAGUGAGGAAGGCAGGUACGUUAAUAGCGUGCUUGUUUGACGUUAGCUGCAGAAGAAGCACCGGCUAACUCCGUGCCAGCAGCCGCGGUAAUACGGAGGGUGCGAGCGUUAAUCGGAAUUACUGGGCGUAAAGCGCAUGCAGGUGGUUUGUUAAGUCAGAUGUGAAAGCCCGGGGCUCAACCUCGGAAUUGCAUUUGAAACUGGCAGACUAGAGUACUGUAGAGGGGGGUAGAAUUUCAGGUGUAGCGGUGAAAUGCGUAGAGAUCUGAAGGAAUACCGGUGGCGAAGGCGGCCCCCUGGACAGAUACUGACACUCAGAU
rnacentral:rRNA from 1 species